AUGUGUGGUCUCCUUGUGUUUGUGUGCUCUCCUCACCCAAUCCAAGCUACAGCCUUCUUGGGGAGUGCAGCUGCAACUCCUUGCAAAAGGACCACCGCAGAUGGACUUUUGACUGUUUAAGGUGGAAAAAUAAAAUCUUUGGGACCACAUGAUUCAAAUGUAUACCACAAUUUUUUUUAAGCUGAAUGAACAAAUAUCCACUGUUUCCUAAAGUACGUGACCAAGUGGUUCUUGAAAUGUUUAAUAUAUGUUCAGAUAAAUCUAAAGUCAAGAGGUGAUACAGGAUCUCACUAUGCUGUUCUGGCUGUCCUGGAAUUCACUCUGUAGACUCUGCCCUUCACCUCCGAGGUCUGCCUGCUUCUACCUCCCAAGUACUGGAAUUAAGGAUGUGUGCCAUUAGGCCCAGGAUUCCUUUUCUUAAUAA